UACGGAGGGUGCAAGCGUUAUCCGGAUUCACUGGGUUUAAAGGGUGCGUAGGUGGGUUGGUAAGUCAGUGGUGAAAUCUCCGAGCUUAACUCGGAAACUGCCGUUGAUACUAUCAAUCUUGAAUGUUGUGGAGGUAAGCGGAAUAUGUCAUGUAGCGGUGAAAUGCUUAGAUAUGACAUAGAACACCGAUAGCGGAGGCAGCUUGCUACACAAUAAUUGACACUGAGGCACGAAAGCGUGGGGAUCAAACAGG
rnacentral:rRNA from 1 species